AAGGGAACACGUGUUCUCUCUGUAAUUACGUCGCCGAAGAAAGAUAUAUCGUGGGAUGAGGAAGGGAGGAGGGAGUCCCUG